rnacentral:rRNA from 1 species
UAGCAUGAAUGGUCUGACGAAAGCAAUACUGUCUCUUCUUUAUUAUCUAGAAAUUAACCUAUGGGUGAAGAGGCCUAUAUUAUAUUGAAGGACAAGAAGACCCUGUCGAGCUUUAGAGUAAAGUAGGAAUAUAGAUAUUAAAAAGAUUAAUGACUACAUAACUCUUUAGUUGGGGCGACUAAGGAACAAAUAAAGCUUCUUUUAUUUCUGUAAAUCAAUAAGUUUAGAUCCAGCAAAGCUGAUUAAAAGAAUUAGUUACCGCAGGGAUAACAGCAUAAUCUCCUU